GGAUUAGAUACCCUGGUAGUCCACGCCCUAAACUAUGGAUACUAGACGUAGGAGGUAUAGACCCCUUCUGUGUCGCAGCUAACGCAAUAAGUAUCCCGCCUGGGGACUACGGCCGCAAGGUUGAAACUCAAAUGAAUUGACGGGGAGCCGCACAAGCGGUGGAGCAUGUGGAUUAAUUCGAUACUAACCGAAGAACCUUACCCAGGUUUGACAUCGAUUGCAAACCGAUGAAAGUCGGUCCUCUUCCACAAGAAGACAUGAAGACACUUGUUGCAUGGCUGUCGUCAGCUCGUGCCG
rnacentral:rRNA from 1 species